rnacentral:piRNA from 1 species
UGGUGUCAAACUUACCACACAAUCAAGGC